UUCACAGUUUAAGAAUCAUGGUCGGAUUUAUUCAAGAAUAAUCUGAUAAAGCUGUCUUUUUGUAUCUCUCUCAUUUCGAUUUCAAAGGAAAAGUAAGUGCGUCGAUCUGGAUUCCAAAAGAUCUGGAUUCCAAAAGAAUUGAAUCGAAUAUGGAUCUUCUUCUACAGGAUAAUCCCAUCAAGCCUAAAUGAAAGAUAAGCCAAAAAACCCUUUCGAAUCCUGUUUAUCCGUCUACUCUGAUGAAUUGGAAACUCUAAUAAUUCUGUUUUGUCUGUUCAGGAUAAUUUUUUCCCCAAAUAGACGC